GCGCGUAAUAGUUUGGGCAAGCUUNUCCGGAUUUNUGGGGUAAAGGAGGUANGCGGCANGCAANUCAGAUNUGAAAGACCGGGGUUNACUCCNGGGNUGCAUUGAAACUUUCUAGCUAGAGUNUCGGAGAGGUAAGCGGAAUUCCUNGUGUAGUGUGAAAUGCGUAGAUAUUAAGAGGAACAUCUGUGGCGAAGGCGACUAACUGGUCUGUAACUGACGCUGAGGCGCGAAAGCGUGGGAGCAAACAGGAUUAGAUACCCUGGUAGUCCACGCCGUAAACGAUGAGUGCUAAGUGUUAGGGGGUUUCCGCCCCUUAGUGCUGCAGUAAACGCAUUAAGCACUCCGCCUGGGGAGUACGGCCGCAAGGCUGAAACUCAAAGGAAUUGACGGGGGCCCGCACAAGCGGUGGAGCAUGUGGUUUAAUUCG
rnacentral:rRNA from 1 species